UACGAAGGGGGCUAGCGUUGCUCGGAAUCACUGGGCGUAAAGCGCACGUAGGCGGGUCUUUAAGUCAGGGGUGAAAUCCUGGAGCUCAACUCCAGAACUGCCUUUGAUACUGAGGAUCUCGAGUCCGGGAGAGGUGAGUGGAACUCCGAGUGUAGAGGUGAAAUUCGUAGAUAUUCGGAGGAACACCAGUGGCGAAGGCGGCUCACUGGUCCAUUACUGACGCUGAGGUGCGAAAGCGUGGGGAGCAAACAGG
rnacentral:rRNA from 1 species